CCUUUUCUUUUCCUCUCUUCCACGUUUUGUCCUGCCGAUGGUGCUCAGUCCCCCUCCCCUUCCCUCACUUGACUCACCGUAGUCACCUGCUUACCAUUCGCGGCAACGAGACCGGCCAUGAUACUCGCCGGCGCAUCGUUUCCUGUCCACCACAUGUUCUGUAUCGAGCUCUUCCGUGUCUGAUCUCCCCGUGGACGGCAACCUCCUCUCUAUGUCUCUGAUCUGAAUCCUAGAGAGGGAGCUGCGGUGGUUGUUGGGAAUCAAACUGCAUAGAACGGUUAGACCACGGCGGAGACCAGGGUCUUCCUUGGACAUGGAGCGCCCCCGCAAUACUGCCUCGCCGACGGGGUGGCGUGGGCUACAUGGCUAGCCUGCCGCCGAGGCGCCGACCUAACCUGGAGGCUGGAGCUCGAUGGGUCCUCGCAUUGGUGGCGAGAGCCGAAGAUGGAUUCAUUCGAGGAAGAGGAGGGAGACGGAGCGUGUCCUCUGCUGGAUCCGGCGGCGACGGGGGCGGCGGGAGGGCGGUGACCUGGGCGCCGGCGACGCUGGAGACGGAACCGAGGCGGAGUGGCGCAGCGCGCCGUUGUGCACCUCGCCGCUGGUAGUCGGAGAGCGCGGCGUCCCGGCCAGCGUGCGCCGCCGACGGUGUGUGCCGCGCCUCGACGGGCAGGCAACAGGGGCGGCGGGAGCGCGAGUGCGGCCACCUGGGCGCCCGCGACGUCGGAGGAGGACAUGACGGCGGCGGCCGAGGCGGAGUGGCGCAGCGCGCCCCGCUGGCGUAGUCGGAGAGCGCGGCGUCCCAGCCCGCGUAUGCCCCCGACAGCGCGUGCCGCGCCUCGACGGCCGUCCAAAGCAGCUAAGUAGUCCCCUGCCUGGUAGCCUAUGUCGUCGCCAAAUGCGGUCAGUGCACAGCCAAGGCUUGAUCCAGGGUUCACGGUGCUGCCUCCAUCUCCGCCAACGCCCAUUCGCCCAGCAGCAGGUGCAAGUCGAUGUCUUGGCUCUGUAAUUGUGCAUCGGCUCCUUCCUCUGUAUCGGAUACUGAAUCAGCAGUUACCGCCGGAAAGUUUGAUGAUGUGUUAGAUACUAUAGGAGUACCUGAAUCUGAAAGAGACGGCAUUAAUCUUCUGAGGAGAGGUGGACAUUAUAUGGCCCUUCAGUGAUUAGGAAGAAGCAGCUGCACCAGCAGAUAGAUACGGAUUACUUGUGGGACUUCCUGCUGCUACUACUGCUUUACUAAACGAGCAGAUGCACUAUCGUUGUUCUCAUGGAAUGAUGGAAUAGGUAUACAGCUUACUCAAUCCACGGUUCCUUUUUUCUGGCAGCUGUCCUUUUCAUGUGCCACUGCCAUCACUAGAGAAGAUUUGACCGUGGAGAAGAAGGAAAUUAAAACUUUGAAGAAGCCUGCACUAUUCAGAUUGUUUUUCAUAAUAGAGCAUAUCUGAAUAGCCUAUACAAAAUAGUGAGUGCUAACUGCCCACUUGAGAGCGUAUCUGUGAGCUGAGCGCCUGAGCCUCAUGCUCUUCCUUCUUCGUGAUCAUGUCGUUCUGUGGUUGAAAAGAUGCUCAUCUGGAGUUUUCUGAUGCUGAUGAGUUGGAUCAAGUCGCCUUUAAAAAAAUAUCUGUAGUGUUGUUCGGUUUGGUUUCCUGGGAGGAAAUAUUUCUGUAGCUUCUUCUUACUUUCUUUUGGUCAGAUACCUUUGGUGGGCAUACGUUUUGGUGGAUGUUGCCUUCUGGCUGAGACAUUGUAGCUGGUUUCUUUUAAUGGAAAUCGGGGAUUGCAAAAAAAAAAAAAUCACAACUGAAUUGCCUUGUGCAUCACUUGCAAGGUCAAAUGUUAUCAUGCUGUCAGAUCUGUCUGAACGCAUUUUUUUUGCAGGUAUCUUUUCAUCAAAAAAAAUCCCCAAUAGCAUAUGACCUUGCAAAAAAAUAAUAAUAGCACAACUGAAUUGCCUUGUGCAUCACUUGCUGUCUCUUUGCUUCCAUGGAAGAGACUCUGCAAGAAAUAAAAUCCAAUAUUGAGAACCUUUAUGAGAAGACAGUUUUAUGUUUCCAGCAAAAGAGAACCAUUCACCAUUCAGAUAUCUGACCUUAAUCUCUGUGAGUCCAGCAGAUUUUCUGAUCCUUUACUUUCAUUCAUACUGCACUACAUCAUGUUUUGCUUACUGCUCCCACUGUAAAUGCUUCUAGA